AGUGCUGCCCCCUCACCUUCCUCCCCCUCUACACCUUCCUCCCCCACACACUGUUUCCAGCAGCUGGCUUGCUCUCCUCACCUUGCUGUCAGUGGCCACCCUUUAUUUUGUUGCCAGGGCCAGCUGCCCGUUGUAUGCUAUUGCGCAAUGCAGGUCACAACCGAUCAUAGAUCCUAAAGGGUUCUAAAGGAGAAAGUAGUACCGUGCUUGCUUCGUGGUGCCGUAGGCUGUGAGAGAAGGGGUGGCCAGAUCAGUUUAUUUAAAAAUAAAUAAAUUAAAAAAAAUUACAUUUGUGGCCAGAUCUGUAUUUUAUGUAUUAUCAUGCUGCCAGUUAUCCCACAAAUAAAGUUCAGACAUAAACAUUUUCAUUGGGGUUGUCUGUAUUGAAAGUGUAGUGUCCUGUGAUCCUGACUGAGCACAGCUGUGGAUUGGCUUUUACCUCUUGAUCAUUUGUAGCCUUAGUGUUCACAUUGAUGGCCAGCUUUAGGAGUGUAGGUAGCAGUGACUAAGUGACAUUGUUUCCCCCCUUUACAUUAGUAAUUUAGGGCAAUAACAUUAUUAGGACACAAGAUCAUGCAUUUAGACUGGAAGAAAGGACAUUUAGUCUAAGG